rnacentral:lncRNA from 1 species
ACACUAACCCUCCCGAUCUUGCUAGCCGGGGGCUCAGUCUUUCAAGAUUCAAUCUUUCCCCUUCCGGUCCCAGGGAAUCGCUCUUAUAGUAGGAGGUUUACUAUGUCCCCAACUUCUCUUUAUUAAGAAAGUCGGUUGUCUACUAUAAUUAGAUUAAGAUCGUAAAAACAUAAGCUUGUAAUAUAGCUAGACCAAAUUCAAUAAAUGGAGUCCGGUAAUAACAUUAUGAAACUGAACCCAUAUGGCAGAAAGCAGAAGCAGCGGGUACGUCUGUUCGGGUUCAUUCAUGUCCAAUAAACUUCAAACAAAAGGAGAUUCGGGUAUCAGAGUUGAGUGGACAGGCGACAGGAGGAUGGGGGGAAGAGUAAAGACAAGACGAAAGCAAGAGUUCCAGCAUCUUACUUUACUAGUUUCAUUUCCGUAUGAUAGUCACCCCUUUCUCGGUAAAGCAGAGUGAGCAGCUUCUUUCUUUGCUACUGCUGCCAUACCACAAAGAAGUCCAAUAGCUGCGCUUACUUCUUCCUUCAACCCUGAAAAGAGCAUAUGCAUCCCGGGAUUCUCUCCAUCUCAGAAGUGGAUUCCCCUGCAAGGGUACUUGAGUACGACUACGGCUAUGAAAAGCUUAUCGAAAGAGGAGGAAAGAGCGUAAACUCGACUCUAAAAGUUUCAGUUGCCUCCCUCUCUCCGCCCUAUAACUGAAAAAAAGGAGCACGGUAAAGCAGAGUGAGCAGCUUCUUUCUUUGCUACUGC